rnacentral:rRNA from 1 species
GGAAAGUUGCAAAGAACUUUGAAGAGAGAGUUCAAGAGAACGUGAAAUCGCUGAAGUGGAACCGGAGAGAGUUAACAUAACUUGGUAGCUAUAUUCUCUAUGGUCGCUUAACUGUGGCCACUGGGGAGUGGACGCUACCUGUUGUUGCGCUGACUGCGUUGAUCGUGCUUUCCGAGCAGUGUAGUGUUGCCCACUUUGUGGUGUCUUGCUCGCUGGGAGGUUUGUCACCGGUUAACGUAUAGCCUUAGUCCCGAGGGAGUCAGUGUGAAAGUUGACCACCUUUCCGACCCGUCUUGAAACACGGACCGAGGAGUGUAAGUUGUACGCGAGUCAAGGAGUGGUGAAAACUCUAGGGGCGGAAUGAAAGUAAAGACUAGUUAACUAGUUGACAUGGGAUCCGCUCUUCGGAGCGGCGCACCAUGGCCCUGUCUUGUCUGCUUGCAGAUGGGCAGCGGUAGAGCGUAUAGCUUGCGACCCGAAAGAUGGUGAACUAUGCUUGAGCAGGACGAAGCCAGAGGAAACUCUGGUGGAAGUCCGUAUCGGUUCUGACGUGCAAAUCGAUCGAU